rnacentral:rRNA from 1 species
UGGGGAAUAUUGGACAAUGGGCGCAAGCCUGAUCCAGCCAUGCCGCGUGAGUGAUGAAGGCCUUAGGGUUGUAAAGCUCUUUCAGUGGGGAAGAUAAUGACGGUACCCACAGAAGAAGCCCCGGCUAACUUCGUGCCAGCAGCCGCGGUAAUACGAAGGGGGCUAGCGUUGUUCGGAUUUACUGGGCAUAAAGCGCACGUAGGCGGAUUGGUCAGUUAGGGGUGAAAUCCCAGAGCUCAACUCUGGAACUGCCUUUAAUACUGCCAGUCUCGAGUCCGGAAGAGGUAAGUGGAACUCCUAGUGUAGAGGUGGAAUUCGUAGAUAUUAGGAAGAACACCAGUGGCGAAGGCGGCUUACUGGUCCGGUACUGACGCUGAGGUGCGAAAGCGUGGGGAGCAAACA